GACGAACGCUGGCGGCGUGCUUAACACAUGCAAGUCGAACGGAAAGGCCCUGCUUGCAGGGUACUCGCGUGGCGAACGGGUGAGUAACACGUGGGUGAUCUGCCCUGCACUUCGGGAUAAGCCUGGGAAACUGGGUCUAAUACCGGAUAGGAGCCAUUUUUAGUGUGAUGGUUGGAAAGUUUUUUCGGUGUAGGAUGAGCUCGCGGCCUAUCAGCUUGUUGGUGGGGUAAUGGCCUACCAAGGCGGCGACGGGUAGCCAGCCUGAGAGGGUGGACGGCCACAUUGGGACUGGGAUACGGCCCAGACUCCUACGGGAGGCAGCAGUGGGGAAUAUUGCACAAUGGGCGCAAGCCUGAUGCAGCGACGCCGCGGGGGGGAUGACGGCCUUCGGGUUGGAAACUCCUUUCGCUAGGGACGAAGCUUUUUGUGACGGUACCUAGAUAAGAAGCACCGGCUAACUACGUG
rnacentral:rRNA from 1 species